rnacentral:rRNA from 1 species
AGCGAACGCUGGCGGCAGGCCUAACACAUGCAAGUCGAACGAACUCUUCGGAGUUAGUGGCGGACGGGUGAGUAACACGUGGGAACGUGCCUUUUGGUUCGGAAUAACUCAGGGAAACUUGUGCUAAUACCGAAUGUGCCCUUCGGGGGAAAGAUUUAUCGCCAUUAGAGCGGCCCGCGUCUGAUUAGCUAGUUGGUGAGGUAACGGCUCACCAAGGCGACGAUCAGUAGCUGGUCUGAGAGGAUGACCAGCCACACUGGGACUGAGACACGGCCCAGACUCCUACGGGAGGCAACAGUGGGGAAUCUUGCGCAAUGGGCGAAAGCCUGACGCAGCCAUGCCGCGUGAAUGAUGAAGGUCUUAGGAUUGUAAAAUUCUUUCACCGGGGACGAUAAUGACGGUACCCGGAGAAGAAGCCCCGGCUAACUUCGUG